UACGGAGGGUGCAAGCGUUAUCCGGAUUCACUGGGUUUAAAGGGUGCGUAGGCGGGCAGUUAAGUCAGUGGUGAAAUCCUUGAGCUCAACUCGAGAACUGCCAUUGAUACUAUCUGUCUUGAAUAUUGUGGAGGUAAGCGGAAUAUGUCAUGUAGCGGUGAAAUGCUUAGAUAUGACAUAGAACACCUAUUGCGAAGGCAGCUUACUAAGCUUUAACUGACGCUGAGGCACGAAAGUGUGGGGAUCAAACAGG
rnacentral:rRNA from 1 species